UCAAAAAAGGUUGGGUCACUGGAUAUUUCAAACGUCUAUUAAUAUUUGAUCUUUCCAAUAUUUGUUGUGCUUACCCUUUUCCUACCACAUUAAAUCUCAACCCUAACUCCAUCUCUUUUGUUUCUAGCACCGGUUCUUCAAGAAGUUAAUUUCCUUCUCUUUUUUAAGACCUGGUUCAUGGCAUCUUCAAGUUUGUUUUGGUCUUCAGUUGUGAGGCGGAAGUCUGGGCGAUGGUGGUUGUUGUGCGAGAUUGAGUGGUGCUUCGCGAACAGCAGACAGAGGGAGUUCCUUCGAAUCUGUAGGUGGCACGACGACGCGGUUUCGUGGCGAGGAGCGGUGGAGCACGAUUAUGGGAGUCGCAUUUAUGGUGGCAGCUUCUUUCAUUAUCGUCGGAAACCUUAGAUUCAGUCCUCUAUUUCUUUUUCUCUAUUUUAGAUUUUCCGUCUUUUCUCCCCCUUGCAAUGAACUUCGUGGUCCUUUAGAUUUAGGAAGCUUCAUAUUUGAUUUUUGACAAUUUUAAUCCUUAUUUUGUCUUGAGGUUCAAGUCUAGUAACUUAUGUAAAGAUAUAAUUAUCGAUUUGGGUAGAUUAAUGAAAAAUAUCUGUUUUUGUGAUGCAGAUUUGGAUGAGGAGGAUUCAGAAGAUUUUGAGUGAAGAUACAAUUGAAUUGUGAAGAUUUGGACCUCUUUUACUGGGUUCGAAUACUGAAAGUUAAUUUCAACGGAGUUGAUGCAUGUGAAUAAUUGGCCUACGAGAAAGCGGCCGAAAAAAAGGAAUUUACAGAAACCUCACCAUAGUGCUUUGGGAUUGCAGCGUAGUCUGUUGUAUUGUUGAAGGAUAGAAUAAUAUGACACGAGCUUUAAGAAUUUGAGUUGAAGAAUUCAAGAUUAAACCAAGAGCUAAAUUGGAGACCCUGAAGAUGUGAUAGCACAUAUAUAUGUAAAAUGAAUGAAUUUUUGUUGUAUAAAAACAAUAUUUUAGCAUAAACAUCAUUUCAUAUAUAAUUUAUUCCAAGUAGUAUAAUUCCUUGUGUUUACCAUAGAUAGCAUCUAAAUAGUAUAAGUUAAAUGAUUAUAUACUUAAUGUUAUCAAAUAAUUGUAGUAUUACUAACACUUGCUUAUAUUAAAUUCAAUUAUUGAAAAUUUCUUCUCUAAAUGGAAUGGAGCAAUAUUACUAUUACUACUAAAUCACAAGUUCAAUAACAGGUAGGAGAAAACAAAUCCAAUAAUUGUUACGUUUGAAAUAAGAUUGAUUUUAGAACAUGAUUGUGUUAAUUUUGUUAUAUGAUGUUAAUUGUUAGAAUUAGACUUGAUUGUUAGUAAAAUCAGUUGGACUGCAAUGAAGUAGUAAAUGGUGGUCACGUCUAAAAUAGUUAAAAGUCGUAUAGAUGAUGAAUUUCCUAAUGAUAUUGAGACUCAACAUUUUAGGCAGUUGAACCAGUAAACCAUCAGAUAUAUCAAAGUUCUGGUUUUCCAAAAGGGAAUGAUUUUGUGUGGUUUUUGGUUGAGAUUUGAUUUUGUUUGGUUUAAAUGGGAUUGUGAUUUUGUGUGGUUUUUGGUUGAGAUUUGAUUUUGUUUGGUUUAACUGGGAUUGUGAUUUUGUGUGAUUUUUGGUUGAGAUUUGAUUUUGUUUUUAAUUUGAUUUUGAAAUGAUGAAGAUUUGAAUAGAAUUUGAUUUGAUUCAUCAUCUUGGUGUCUUUUUCUUAUGGUUAAUAGAUAGAGACAGUAGUAAAUAAUAACAAACAAUAAUACUAUUAAUAAUUCUAAUACUUGAUAAUAUAAUACUUAUAGACAAAAAAGACUGAAAUAAAAAAUAGGAAAUGGUUAGAAUUUAAAAAAAAAACUGAACUAAACUUAAUUUCAAGUACAAAAUAAUUUGACUACAGUUAUUUGAAAUUUUAGUAUAUACAUGUUUCUAAGUACUAUUGCAAAGUUUAUUUAAUUUUUUUUGUGUUUCAUAUUUUUUUUAGUACUUAAAAGGACUAUUCAAUUACUAUUAUUUAUCUUUUAUAAUUUAUUAAAAUAUUUUUUCUUAUAUUUCUACAAAUUGUUUUAAAAAAAUUUGGAAAUUAUUACUACUAAUA